GAUGUACUCCCUCCAUCCGAAAAUACUUGUCCAGGGAAUGGAUGUAUCUAGAUGUAUUUUAGUUCGAGAUACAUCCAUUUGUAUCCAUUUCUACGACAAGUAUUUCCGGACGGAGGGAGUAUUUA
rfam:Triticum aestivum genome assembly, contig: Triticum_aestivum_CS42_TGACv1_scaffold_374505_5AL